rnacentral:rRNA from 1 species
UACGGGGGGGGCAAGCGUUGUUCGGAAUUACUGGGCGUAAAGGGCUCGUAGGUGGCCAACUAAGUCAGACGUGAAAUCCCUCGGCUUAACCGGGGAACUGCGUCUGAUACUGGAUGGCUUGAGGUUGGGAGAGGGAUGCGGAAUUCCAGGUGUAGCGGUGAAAUGCGUAGAUAUCUGGAGGAACACCGGUGGCGAAGGCGGCAUCCUGGACCAAUUCUGACACUGAGGAGCGAAAGCGUGGGGAGCGAUCCGG